CUAAGCUGGGUCCAUUUGGACCCCCCAAUUUGCGCGUCAAAUUUCCCGGUCAAUGCCCAUCUUACCCACAAUGCAUUGCUUGUUUAUACGGCCAUUUUCUCAUCACUUGGACCUCAGCGGUCGUGGCUGGUGGAUGGUACGUGACAGUAUUAGCGUUAUUAGUGAUUUAUAGGCAGUGCUUGGUCCACAUGGACCCAUGGUUAUAAGCAGUGUUACAUAUGGACUAUGCACAUGCAGUACGUAAUGGGCAUUUUUUUCUGUGUGAUGUAGAAAAUAUUGUAAUGUGUGGUGUUGUACAAUACUGCCGAGAGUUGAACCAUGUUGUUAUGUUGUGAAACUGGCAUUUCUAUCUAUAUUUAGUUUAUUUUUACUCGUUUUCCUCGGACAGGUGUGUUGAACACCUGUCACGUGAAAAGCAGGUGUUGUGAGACAAGCAGAGAAGCAGUGCUGUUGAUCAGGAGCCAGUGCUACACCUCCUGUGAUCGAGGGAGUGCUGUUGCACGGCUGCAGUGCUUCGACUUGUUCGAGGAACAACCUGAUCGAGUAGGAGAAGGCCCCAAAAUCAAGAAGAGGUGCUCACUCUGCAAAUAUCAGAAGAACAUGGCAAAGAUCCGAACUGUGUGUGGCUACUGCAAGAGACCUGCAUGUGCCAAACACAUCACAUAUCAGUGUGAUGAUUGCAGAUUCUAAAAGAUCACACUCAAGAAAGGACCAUGGUGGGCUGCUUUGGGCAGAUAUAACUUCAGCAACUGUCCAACUAAAGGGAAUAAGUAGUUACUAAGCUCAAAAUUAGUUAUUAUAUUUUUCUCAUAAUAUUUUUGCAAACUAUGUGAAAUUUCGGAAAAUUUACAUUUUUAAUUUUGCUACAAUAAAAAUAUGGCAUAUUUUUCUUUA